rnacentral:misc_RNA from 1 species
GAUCAGUUUUAUGGGUUAUGUUUCUUGAACCAUGUUUUUUAGCUAUUUUUCUAUGUUGUACUCGUGAGGUUUUCCAGGUUUUUUCACUUGAUGCUUUAGGCCUUAGGUUGGGUAUCUGGGUUCAUUUUGUUAUUGUGGGUUUUAGAAUGGCUUGAUCUGUUAAGUUUUUUCUGGAUUUAUUAUUAACAAAUAAAAUUUUGAUUUAUAAAAAAAUUGUGGUAUUUUCAGUUUGGAUGAACUUCAAGAAGGC